GCCCGGUUAGCUCAGUCGGUAGAGCACGAGACUCUUAAUCUCGGGGUCGCGGGUUCGAGCCCCGCAUUGGGCU